GUAUAUUUGUUUAACUCAAAAGCUCUCAGCAGACAGGGUAUUUCUGUGACUUUCUUUUAUACAUUUGUUGGAUGAGGAUGUGUUUCUGGUGGUGUGUUAUUCCUUUUGGACUGUCAUCACGAUAUUCCAGAGUUCAAACACUGCUGUCCUGCAGUUUGGGCAAGGAUAUAACAAUCAUUCUUUUCUGAAUGAACAUCUGAAAUGUAUAAAACAAAACUGAUCAUAAUAUGGGCAUAAAAAAAAUUA